GGAAGGAUCAUUAACACUAAUCCAAACAACUCAACCUAGCCUUCAGUUGCAGCCGCAGUACAGCUAGCGAAAGCAGGCAGUGCCGCAGCUGCAGCAACUAACAAACUUAUUCACACAAAGGAGCCUAACUAAGCUCAAUAACCAAAACCAAAUUCUCAACGAUGGAUAUCUUGGUUCCCAUAACGAUGAAGAACGCAGCGAAGUGCGAUAAGCAAUGCGAAUUGCAGAACCGUGAGUCAUCAGAUUUUUGAACGCAACUGGCGCUGGCUGGGUCUCCAGCCAGCAUGCUUGUUUCAGUGUCUUGUUUUCUCCUCACCCAAACCUUAAUGCGAGAGAUACCCUUCUCUUGUUAAGCAUGAAAGCACUCUGCGCUCUGCGAGCGACGUCUUGACUAGUUCAGGACUCGCACUCAAUGCAGCCGUCACAUUUCUCACAAUGUGAACUCAUUGAGAGCAGAGGCUGUCAGCUUACGCUGUCAGUGCUUAGUCACUCAAACUUUCUUUGCAUCUGAAAUCAAGCAGGACCACCCGCUGAACUUAAGCAUAUCACUAAGCGGAGGAAAAGAAAUUAACUAAGAUUGCCUCAGUAACGGCGAGUGAAGCGGCAAGAGCCCAAAAUGUAAAUCUUCACACUGCGUGUGACGAAUUGUAAUCUAAAGAUGGUUCACUCAACGGGCGGUGGCGCAGAAGUGCCCUAGAACGGGCCGCCAGAGAGGGUGACAGCCCCGUACGUGGUGCCACUGCCUAACGAGUGGGUUAUCGAAGAGUCGGGUUGUUUUGUAUUGCAGCCCUAAGUGGGAGAUAAACUUCUUCUAAGGCUAAAUAUAUAUGGGAAACCGAUAGCGAACAAGUACUGUGAAGGAAAGAUGAAAAGAACUUUGAAAAGAGAGUCAAAAGACUUGAAAUCGUUGAGAAGGAA
rnacentral:misc_RNA from 1 species